CCUACGGGAGGCAGCAGUGGGGAAUAUUGGGCAAUGGGCGCAAGCCUGACCCAGCAACGCCGCGUGAAGGAAGAAGGCUUUCGGGUUGUAAACUUCUUUUGUCAGGGAAGAGUAGAAGACGGUACCUGACGAAUAAGCCACGGCUAACUACGUGCCAGCAGCCGCGGAAAUACGUAGGUGGCAAGUGUUGUCCGGAUUUACUGGGUUUAAAGGGUGCGUAGGGGGUGCGUUAAGUCAGUGGUAAAAUUGAGGGGCUAAAACCCUUCCCGCCAUUGAAACUGGCGCUCUUGAGUGGAAGAGAAGUAUGCGGAAUGCGUGGUGUAGCGGUGAAAUGCAUAGAUAUCACGCAGAACCCCGAUUGCGAAGGCAGCAUGCCGGCUUCCGACUGACGCUGAAGCACGAAAGCGUGGGGAUCGAACAGGAUUAGAUACCCUGGUAGUG
rnacentral:rRNA from 1 species